AUGUGUGUAUUGAAGAAUAAAGGAGGUACGGGGUUUCGUGAUCUUCAUUGCUUUAUUUUAGCCCUGCUUGCGAAACAGGCCAGGCAGUUAAUUGGGAACCCCGAUUCUCUACGUGCCACUAUCUUGGGAGCUAAGUACUUCCCUGAUGGUGAUCUUCUCAACGCUUCGGUAAAAAAGGGGUCAUCUUAUAUGUGGCAAAGUAUCAGCGCAAGGAUCUACACAAUUUAA
rnacentral:rRNA from 1 species